rnacentral:rRNA from 1 species
UCGUAACAAGGUCUCCGUUGGUGAACCAGCGGAGGGAUCAUUACCGAGUUAUCCAACUCCCAACCCCUGUGAAUUAUACCUUUAAUUGUUGCUUCGGCGGGACUUCGCGCCCGCCGGGGACCCAAACCUUUUGAAUUUUUUAAUAAGUAUUUUUUGAGUGGUUAAAAAAAAAAUGAAUCAAAACUUUCAACAACGGAUCUCUUGGUUCUGGCAUCGAUGAAGAACGCAGCGAAAUGCGAUAAGUAAUGUGAAUUGCAGAAUUCAGUGAAUCAUCGAAUCUUUGAACGCACAUUGCGCCCGUCAGUAUUCUGGCGGGCAUGCCUGUUCGAGCGUCAUUACGCCCCUCAAGUCCCCUGUGGACUUGGUGUUGGGGAUCGGCGAGGCUGGUUUUCCAGCACAGCCGUCCCUUAAAUUGAUUGGCGGUCUCGCCGUGGCCCUCCUCUGCGCAGUAGUAAAACACUCGCAACAGGAGCCCGGCGCGGUCCACUGCCGUAAAACCCCCCAACUUUUUAUAGUGACCUCGAAUCAG